GCCCAUAGAUUUGGGGAGGGGGGCAGCAGCCCAUAGCUUUGGGUGGGCAGCAGCCUAUAGAUAUAAAGAAAUGAACAGGAAGGGUCAGCAAGGAGCUGGAAGGUAAAGCAGCACAAAGGUAAAGUAGAAGGAGCAGAAAGGGUCAGAAAUGAGCUGGAAGGGGCAGAAGGAGUACAAACAUAAAGUAGGAGAAUGAGCAGGAAGGGCCUGCAAGGAGCAGGAAGGAGCAGAAAGGG